GAUGAAUGCUGGCGGCGUGCCUAAUACAUGCAAGUCGAGCGGUAAGGCCCUUCGGGGUACACGAGCGGCGGACGGGCUGAGUAACGCGUGGGAACAUGCCCCAAAGUGAGGGAUAACGCACCGAAAGGUGCGCUAAUACCGCAUAUGGUCUUCGGAUUAAAGGAUUUAUCCGCUUUGGGAGUGGCCCGCGUACGAUUAGAUUGUUGGUGAGGUAACGGCUCACCAAGUCGACGAUCGUUAACUGGUCUGAGAGGAUGAUCAGUCAGACUGGAACUGAGACACGGUCCAGACUCCUACGGGAGGCAGCAGUAAGGAAUCUUCCACAAUGGGCGAAAGCCUGAUGGAGCAACGCCGCGUGCAGGAUGAAGGCCCUCGGGUCGUAAACUGCUUUAUGAGUGAAGAAUAUGACGGUAACUCAUGAAUAAGCACCGGCUAACUACGUGCCAGCAGCCGCG
rnacentral:rRNA from 1 species